GACGAACGCUGGCGGCGCGCUUAACACAUGCAAGUCGAGCGAGAACCAGCCCUUCGGGGCUGGGGACAGCGGCGAACGGGUGAGUAACACGUGGGUAAUCAACCCUCGGUACUGGGAUAGCCCGGGGAAACCCGGAUUAAUACCGGAUGGCCCUUUGGAUCUUCGGAUCUGACGGAAAAGGUAGCUUCGGCCUCCGACCGAGGACGAGCCCGCGGCGGAUUAGCUUGUUGGUGGGGUAAUGGCCUACCAAGGCGGCGAUCCGUAGCUGGUCUGAGAGGACGAUCAGCCACACUGGGACUGAGACACGGCCCAGACUCCUACGGGAGGCAGCAGUGGGGAAUCUUGCGCUAAUGCGGGAAACCGUGACGCAGCGACGCCGCGUGAGGGAAGAAGGCCUUCGGGUUGUAAACCUCUUUCAGGAGGGACGAAGCUACUCGGGUUAAUAGCCCAGAGGGUGACGGUACCUCCAGAAGAAGCCCCGGCUAACUACGUGCCAGCAGCCGCCGUAA
rnacentral:rRNA from 1 species